CUUUUAGCUAAAGUCUUGAAAUUUCUACACCAAAUAGCGUUUUUCAAUAGCUUCAAUUUGAUAUAUAGCCCAACGUUCAAUGUUGAGUAUUUCUGCUCAUAACUCAGAAAAACUAAAAUGCACUGGCUUCAAUUCCCCCCCCCUGAGUUAGCCUUCCAGUUUAUUUAUAGUUCAAUGGGCCUGACACAAAACCCGUCUAGACCGUGGGACGCCCACAUGUUAUUUUUAGACACACAUGCAAUAUGAUUGACAAGUGUUGUAGAUUUCGAUUUUGUUACACAAAAAAUUUAUAUUCUCAUGAACAUGUCCGCAGAGUGUAGAU